CACUUCUAAGGAAGGCAGCAGGCGCGCAAAUUACCCAAUCCUGACUCAGGGAGGUAGUGACAAGAAAUAACAAUAAACCGGCUUAUGCCGGUUUAAUUGGAAUGAGUACAAUUUAAACAUCUUAACGAGGAACAAUUGGAGGGCAAGUCUGGUGCCAGCAGCCGCGGUAAUUCCGGCUCCAAUAGCGUAUACUAAAGUUGUUGCAGUUAAAAAGCUCGUAGUUGGAUUUCUGUGGGGACGGAGCGGCCGGCCGCAACACGCGGUUCGAGCUAGCGCUUUCCCUACAUCCUGCCGCGAACCGUGCUACCAUUAGUUUGGUGGCGCCGGGGAUCGGCUCGAUUACUUUGAGAAAAAUAGAGUGUUCAAAGCAGGCCACACGCCUUGAAUAAGUUAGCAUGGAAUAAUAACUAAGGACUUCGGUUCUAUUUUGUUGGUGUUCGGGACUGAAGUAAUGAUUGAUAGGGACAGUUGGGGCGGUCUGUAUUCCAAAGCGAGAGGUGAAAUUCUUAGACCUUCGGAAGACAAACAGCUGCGAAAGCGUUCCGCAAGGAUGUUCCCUUUGAUCAAGAACGAAAGUUGGGGGAUCGAAGACGAUCAGAUACCGUCGUAGUCUCAACUAUAAACUAUACCAGCUAGGGAUCGGCCAACGUUAUUUCAUACCGACUUGGUCGGCACCUUAUGAGAAAUCAAAGCAUCUGGGUUCCGGGGGGAGUAUGGUCGCAAGGCUGAAACUUAAAGGAAUUGACGGAAGGGCACCACCAGCCGUGGAGCCUGUGGCUUAAUUUGACUCAACACGGGAAAACUUACCAGGUCCAGACAUAGUAAGGAUUGACAGAUUGAUAGCUCUUUCUUGAUUCUGUGGGUGGUGGUGCAUGGCCGUUCUUAGUUGGUGGAGUGAUUUGUCUGGUUAAUUCCGUUAACGAACGAGACCCCAGCCUGCUAAAUAGCGCGCGUGAGCUUUGCUCGCGGCGAGCUUCUUAGAGGGACUCUGAUGCGCGAUAGCACAUGGAAGUUUGGGGCAAUAACAGGUCUGUGAUGCCCUUAGAUGUUCUGGGCCGCACACGGGCUACACCGGCGCCUGCAACGAGCAUAUCAGCUGGCCCGAGAGGGUCUUGGCUAAUCUUUUGAACCGGCGCCGUGCUUGGGAUUGACCUUUGCAAUUGUUGGUCAUGCAACGAGGAAUGCCUUGUAAACGCGAGUCAUCAGCUCGCAUUGAAUACGUCCCUGCCCUUUGUCCACACCGCCCGUCGCUCCUACCGAUGAAUGUUCCGAUGAAAUUUUCGGAGAGCACCUGUGAACUUGGCUCUGCCUUGCGAACGGGAGGCUCAAAGUCACUUAAAUCUGAACAUUUCGAGG
rnacentral:rRNA from 1 species